AUUGAACGCUGGCGGCAUGCUUUACACAUGCAAGUCGAACGGCAGCGCGGGCUUCGGCCUGGCGGCGAGUGGCGAACGGGUGAGUAAUGCAUCGGAACGUGCCCAGUAGUGGGGGAUAGCCCGGCGAAAGCCGGAUUUAUACCGCAUACGACCUGAGGGUGAAAGCGGGGGACCGAAAGGCCUCGCGCUAUUUGAGCGGCCGAUGUCGGAUUAGCUCGUUGGUGGGGUAAAGGCUUACCAAGGCGACGAUCCGUAGCUGGUCUGAGAGGACGACCAGCCACACUGGGACUGAGACACGGCCCAGACUCCUACGGGAGGCAGCAGUGGGGAAUUUUGGACAAUGGGGGCAACCCUGAUCCAGCCAUGCCGCGUGCGGGAAGAAGGCCUUCGGGUUGUAAACCGCUUUUGUUCGGGAAGAAAUCCUCUGGGCUAAUACCCCGGGGGGAUGACGGUACCGGAAGAAUAAGCACCGGCUAACUACGUG
rnacentral:rRNA from 1 species